rnacentral:lncRNA from 1 species
UGCUUAUUUGAAUCUGACCCUAGUAAAAACUUAUACCAAAACUCAAUCGGUAAGGACAUGACUUUCAACUCAACUUUGUGCUAGGAGUUUCGUAUAACCUUAGUUCAUGUCUAAUGCAAUCCGACACUAAAGAGUUGAUCUUAAUACAUAUGAACAAUUAAGUUUCAUCAGGUUUGGAUCUGCGUACACAUAUAGAUAGUUCAAUUCUUAGCCGGGAGGUUUCAUGUGUUACAAUAUGUGAUAUUGAAAUACAAAAUAAGCAAAAUAAAAUACAAAAUGUGUUGUCAUUUGUGUUCUGAGUGGUCGAUGAUUGUGAGGCUGGUGGAAAGAAGCACCAACGAUGCUACCAUUCCGCCGACACUGGUUAAUAGCAAUGGCCGACGACCAGAUUUGUCAAUCAGAUCUGUAGUUCUAUUCUAUACUUGAGGAAGGUUUUGCAUGCUGUUAGGGUCAUGUAUAUGCUUGGAUCUUCUCUCUUCAUCCAUUUUAGUCGUCGUGCCUACAUUAUCCAAUAGUCCUUGAGUAAUACAUAGAUCAAAAGAUGGAAAAUCACUAGAAAAUUAAUGAAUAAGUGGGAUACCUCUUGUAAUCUCUUAGAGUCGGCCAUUAGAGAGGAUCUUUGAGGUUUUCCUUAUCCAAAAUCCUAAUCGAAAUUAGUGAAUUUACUAAGCAACUAAACAAAUAAAUUUUUUGAAAGGUUUAAACAAAACAAAAUCAGUAAACAAACCUAAAAAUCGGAUAAAGAUGUGUAUGUUAAUCAAUGGGAUUAUUGUCAAUAUCUUUAGUGAUAUCUUUUUCGAUUUGUGAAAAAACGGAAGCUACGGAAGAGAG